AUUGAACGCUGGCGGCAUGCCUUACACAUGCAAGUCGAACGGCAGCACGGGUGCUUGCACCUGGUUGCGAGUGGCAAACGGGUGAGUAAUACAUCGGAACAUGUCCUGUAGUGGGGGAUAGCCCGGCGAAAGCCGGAUUAAUACCGCAUACGAUCUACGGAUGAAAGCGGGGGACCUUCGGGCCUCGCGCUAUAGGGUUGGCCGAUGGCUGAUUAGCUAGUUGGUGGGGUAAAGGCCUACCAAGGCGACGAUCAGUAGCUGGUCUGAGAGGACGACCAGCCACACUGGGACUGAGACACGGCCCAGACUCCUACGGGAGGCAGCAGUGGGGAAUUUUGGACAAUGGGCGAAAGCCUGAUCCAGCAAUGCCGCGUGUGUGAAGAAGGCCUUCGGGUUGUAAAGCACUUUUGUCCGGAAAGAAAUCCUUGGCCCUAAUACGGUCGGGGGAUGACGGUACCGGAAGAAUAAGCACCGGCUAACUACGUG
rnacentral:rRNA from 1 species